UACGGAGGAUGCGAGCGUUAUCCGGAUUUAUUGGGUUUAAAGGGUGCGUAGGCGGUCCGUUAAGUCAGCGGUAAAAUUGCGGGGCUCAACCCCGUCGAGCCGUUGAAACUGGCAGACUUGAGUUGGCGAGAAGUACGCGGAAUGCGCGGUGUAGCGGUGAAAUGCAUAGAUAUCGCGCAGAACUCCGAUUGCGAAGGCAGCGUACCGGCGCCAGACUGACGCUGAGGCACGAAAGCGUGGGGAUCGAACAGG
rnacentral:rRNA from 1 species